rnacentral:rRNA from 1 species
AACGCGAAGAACCUUACCUAGGCUUGACAUGUAUUGCUAAGCACGUGAAAGCGUGUGACUCUUCGGAGACCUUACACAGGUGCUGCAUGGCCGUCGUCAGCUCGUGUCGUGAGAUGUUUGGUUAAGUCCAGCAACGAGCGCAACCCCUGUGGAUAGUUGCCAGCACGUAAUGGUGGGGACUCUAUCCAGACUGCCCAGGUCAACUGGGAGGAAGGUGGGGAUGACGUCAGGUCAGUAUGGCCCUUACGCCUAGGGCUGCACACGUACUACAAUGCCCAGUACAAUGAGAACCGAUACCGCGAGGUGGAGGAAAUCUACAAAACUGGGCCCAGUUCGGAUUGGAGGCUGCAACUCGCCUCCAUGAAGUUGGAAUCGCUAGUAAUGGCACAUCAGCUACGGUGCCGUGAAUACGUUCCCGGGCCUUGUACACACCG